UACGGAGGAUCCAAGCGUUAUCCGGAUUUAUUGGGUUUAAGGGUGCGUAGGUGGCCUAUUAAGUCAGGGGUGAAAGACGGUAGCUUAACUAUCGCAGUGCCUUUGAUACUGAUGGGCUUGAAUACAGUUGAAGUGGGCGGAAUGUGACAAGUAGCGGUGAAAUGCAUAGAUAUGUCACAGAACACCGAUUGCGAAGGCAGCUCACUAAAGUGUGAUUGACACUGAGGCACGAAAGCGUGGGGAUCAAACAGG
rnacentral:rRNA from 1 species